rnacentral:rRNA from 1 species
AAUCUUGCGCAAUGGGCGAAAGCCUGACGCAGCCAUGCAGCGUGAAUGAUGAAGGUCUUAGGACUGUAAAAUUCUUUCAUCGUGGACGAUAAUGACGGUACUCGGAGAAGAAGCCCCGGCUAACUUCGUGCCAGCAGCCGCGGGAAUACGAAGGGGGCUAGCGUUGCUCGGAAUUACUGGGCGUAAAGGGCGCGUAGGCGGAUCGUUAAGUCAGGGGUGAAAUCCCGGGGCUCAACCUCGGAACUGACCUUGAUACUGGCGAUCUUGAGUAUGAGAGCGGUAUGUGGAACUCCGAGUGUAGAGGUGAAAUUCGUAGAUAUUCGGAAGAACACCAGUGGCGAAGGCGACAUACUGGCUCAUUACUGACGCUGAGGCGCGAAAGCGUGGGGAGCAAACA